UUUAGGAAAAAUGUUUUGAUUUAUCCCCAGAUAACCCAGUAAUCGCAAUACACAGAUAUUGUUUAGAGCCGAGUGGGGAUGCUAGAUUCCCUUAUUCGAAAAUGUAAGGACACAGAUCGUGUCGUAUAGCCAGCUAGAGACGAUAUCUUCUGGUGCUAAAUUGCAGUAACAUUUGUCCUAAACAAGGACUGCCAUGUUAUGUUGGCAAACAAUCUUUACU